UUGAGAAAUUCGUGGGCGCUGCUCA
rnacentral:piRNA from 1 species